GUAUCUAUUUCUCUUAUUUUAGGACAUAUUGUACAUUAGCAGAGAGCUCACAUUCAAUCAUUGGCCCCAUGAAGUUUGGGCUGGCUAUGUAAUUCCAAUCCCUUCCUUCCCCCGCCCCCUUCAGGCUGAGCUCUCCACCGUCACAGCUAUUGCACCGUUACUGCCAGCUGAAGACCCUUAUUUUACCCCAGACCAACCUCACAUUCCAGACUGGGGCUUUCCUAAAUCACAACUGACCAUCUUCCUCCCAGUGCUUGCUGGAUCUUGGUAUGGUGGUGUGAGUUCGGAGACUGGAGUACUGAGAGCGACAAUACAAUGGAGAAAACCUAAUUUAACUACUCUUACUAAUACUGAGGUUAGCUGUCUUUUUUGCAGUCCCUCAGCCUGAUAGUCAAAAUAUAAAGAACUGAAUUGAGAUCAUAAUGGGAUCUGUAGAAAAUACAGACAUAGUUGCAGAAGACACCCAUAGAUGUUCUCUAUCUUUUGCUGCUCCUACUAUUUGGGGUGUUUUAUGUACCCAUGAUUUCCCCUUCACCAGGACAAACAGAAUGUAACUGGUUUAUAGAAGAGGAAAAAGGAAUAAUACAGGAAAAAGCAGUUCAGUCAGGACAAUGGCAGUGUAUGUUAAGAGAUGGUUCUGGGAUAGUUGCCGGCUCCACUAGUGUCCUGGUUGUCACAAUUAAUCCAACCACUACUACUCUUAUACCCAUAUGGAAAAAUCCAUGUCCUUCAAUUUCCUAAUAUACUUUUAUAGCAUGGUAUGCCCCUAAGUGGAUAAAAGAGGAAAAAGAAACUAUAUUAAUAAGGUGGGCUCAUAAUGAUCUGAGUAUAAAGAAUGACAUUUAAUAAUGUUUACUCACAAGGCAGAUAUUGCAGGGUAGUAUUUCAGUGUACAUCUCAGCAAAAGGUUGUACUAAGGGGACAGCUAAGUUUACAAGGACCUUGGUUUAGUCAGCUAAUAGAACAGGGGAGUAGAUAUGAAAAAGAUAAGACUCAAACUGUGUUUUCAUAUUGGUGUGAAGGCAGUACAGCUAUAAUGAGAAGGUCAGAGUGGAAUAUGUAAAAUUAUUGGUCCAUAUAUUGGUUCUUAUAGUUUUAAUAAAACUUUUACUGUAAUAUGGAUAUCCGAGCCAAAUCAAGUGAAAAUUGGUCCUUAUGUGAUAAAAGAAGAUGUCAAAUGACAGUUAAUAUUAGAACCCACAUAUUCCUUAAAAAUGGAGUGUGCUAGACUUAACCCCCAUGAACAUCUCAAUCAUACAACCACAAUGUGCAAGUAUAUAAAACCAUUACUUAAGGAAUGGAAAAGAUGGGUGCAAAGCCAAACUCAGAGAUUUUGCCAAAGCCCUCUACUGAAAGAGUCAAAAGAGAUUUGGUACAGUUUCAGGAGGAGCAGAAACAGGUCUUACGGUGCUAAACAGUAUCGACAAGGGAGUAUUCCUUAUAAAUUAGAUGCAAUAGAACAGCAUUUAGGUGCUUUGUCUAAACGUCUAAAAAUACCCCUCAAUUAAAUAAGUGCUGGUCAUUACUUGAUAGCUAGUCUACUCCCCGGCUGGAAAAGGUUGCAAGAAGUAGUUCUAGUACAUUACAAACAAUAGAAGUGCUUCAAAGCAAUGUGUCUAUGGCACUAGCUUGCAUAUAAGCAGAAACAUGGACCAAUGAUUUGGUAAAAGAUAUUCCAUUCCUGAUUAUAAGUGGUAUUUUGCCAUUUGAAAUAAGUAGUAUGUUGAAAUAGGUUACUAUCUAGGAGCAAAAUUUAUAUUCUUGGUGGAAAAUAAUAAAUUUUACAUAUAAUGUGCAGCAAAAUGAAAUGUCUUAUGUUCAAAUAGAAUAGCAAUCCCCUAUUAUGGGAUUGGGAUUAAACGUCAAUUAUGGUGUAAUGCAACCAAUGGAACACAAAUUAUGGGCCAUAAAUCAAGCCACCAUAUGGAAAACAGUAGAACUUAAAACUUGUAUGGAAGAACAUGGAAGUGGAUAUAUUUGUAAUAAUGUUGUUAUACAAUCUUAUAAUAUCUGUUUAAAUCCAGAAAAAAGGAAAAUGCCAUUGUCAACUAAAUCCAUUUUUUAACACUGGAUCUGUGGUUGUGUAUAUAGGAAAUACAAGUGUAUGCAUUAGAAGUUGAUGCAGAACAGUUUAAUGUUAAUUAUUUGUUUAAUACAAGACAUAAUCCUUAUGAAAGUCAAUGUUUAUGUAAUAAAGUUUCAGUGAUUGGAUGUGAUUUUAACUUUACAUUACCUGAAGUUGAAUAUAAGGAAGUGAAGGACCAAAAGUGUCAACCCAGUGCCACUGAGUAUGAAUAUCAGUUUAGUUAAACAAUUGCUAAACCAUUCUGAUUUGCAAAGAUACUUGCAAAAGGCACAGGAAAAUGCAUGUAAAAGUAUGAUUACUAUACAUCACUCAACUGAUGAAAUUAAACAAAUUGUGGAACAAGUAAAAAAGAUACAAAACACAAUUGGUGAGAGGUAUUUUUGGGAUGGUCAUCUACUGCCACUUGAAUUUUAAAUAAAAUGCUGCACCCUAUUGUAUGGAUAACUGAAACAUAUUGUUUGAGUAAUAUCUGUAAUAUUUUGGACCAGAAAAAUAUUAUAUUCCAAUUUGCCCAGAGGAUUAGAAAUUGAAAACAGUUUGUUAAAAUGUCUAAAAACGGUUUAGGAAAAGUUGGAAAUUGAAGGCAAACUUGUUAAGAAUACUUUAAAAACUGUAAACAAGUGCAUGUCACUGUUUGUGUGAAAGUUUAAAAGAAAGCAACAUAAGCAAUCUUAAAUUUUUUGUAAUGAUUGUAAAAGUUUAUAUAAUAGUUUAAGAUUUAGUUACAUAAAUAUUAAGUUACCAUUUAUACGUGUUUAUGUAAUGUAAUUGUUAAAAGCUUGUAGCAAUUGUCUCAGUUUUGGCAAACUGAAGACACCUGUUAUAGAAAUCAAAGCUGGUAUACACACAGGGUUGUGAUUACUGUCUACCAUCCUAUCAAUAAAAGUAAAUUUUAAAGGAAAAAUUUA